UACGAAGGGUGCAAGCGUUAAUCGGAAUUACUGGGCGUAAAGGGUGCGUAGGCGGUUGUUUAAGUCUGUCGUGAAAUCCCCGGGCUCAACCUGGGAAUUGCGUUGGAGACUGCAAGGCUGGAGUCUGGCAGAGGGGGGUAGAAUUCCACGUGUAGCAGUGAAAUGCGUAGAGAUGUGGAGGAAUACCGAUGGCGAAGGCAGCCCCCUGGGAUGAUACUGACGCUCAUGCACGAAAGCGUGGGGAGCAAACAGG
rnacentral:rRNA from 1 species